UUUUUUUUUCUUUGUUGAAAAAAUUACUAUAGGUUGAAGUUCCAUUUUUUGGAUCUUUCAGGAAAUACAGUACCAUUUUUUUUAGUUAUGGGUUCAACUUUUAGAGUUUGAAUCUUUAGGAUUUCUUGUUGCUACUGUAGAUUGCGCCCCUGGAAUCUGAAUGACCGGGAUGGAUUUCAUACGGAAUCUGGGACGAAAUCUGCAAGUGGAGAGGAAGAGAUUUCAACAACAUAAUUUUCUCCAACUUCACAGAAAUGUACAUGCAUUUCUUAGAAAUGUUAGUUCAUACAUUUUAACAAAAAUGCGUGUACAACUAAAAAAGGUGUUCACGUAUAUGUAAAAAAAUGCCCAUGUAGAACUAAAAAUGUUCAUUUAAUUAAAAUGUGUUCAUCUAUUUUGAAUAAAAUACAUGUACUUUAAAGAAAUAUUCACAUGUUUUAUGAAGUGCUCAUAUACUUUCAAAACAUGUUAAUGAAAGUAUUCGUCCAUUAGAGAAACUGUUAAUGUAAUUAAAAAGUUUUUCACCCAUUUGAAAAGUAUUCAUGUAAUUUUAAAAUAGUGUGAUAUUCAUGUAUUUUUAAAAUUCCAUAUUUUCUAUAUCUUAGUGUAUUUUCAAAAUAAAAAAUGAAACUUAAAAUAUAACAGAAAAAGGACAACCAAACACGAAAAUGAAAAGGAAUGAAACACAAAACAAAAAAGAAACAAAAAAAUAGGAAAAAAGAAGAAGAGGUAAAACCAGACACAAACCGACAAAAGAAAGUAGGAAAAAGCAACUGAAACCGGUCCGCUCCACAGAAGUUUGCCAUAGCUGGUAUGAAUCACUCUUCUCAUUUGAGUAGGGUUUUUGGAAACCUUUGGUUACUUAAAAUUGCAGUAUCACAGAUCUACAAUUUCAAUAUUGCAGAUGCGAAGGCUGCAAGUCACACGGGCAUACGAAACCUGAAAAGGCCAAUGAAGCUUUCUUGGUUGAUAUAGCCAGGGGAGGCGUUUUGGCUCCGGGUGCAUUUGCACCAGGGUGAACAGUAAAAUAAAAAAAAUAAAAAAAUUUAAAAAUUCUAAAUUUUUUAAUAGAUGAUCGUGUUAGUGUAGCAAGGAUGAUUGACAAUUUUCAUGCGAAGCGGGGCAGCAGUGUUUUGUCAGUGAAAAAACAAAUUUAAUUGUGACAUUUUGGGGUAUCACUUGAUGUUCUGUUUUUUUUUUUGCAUGGGCCAAAUGCUUUACAUUUUUGCCUAAAAAUUUUCAGGUAGCAUUUGAAUGUGACAAAGAACACGUAAAUUUUUUGACAUUUCAAAAUUCAUUUUUCAGAGUCAGGUGCACGUGCUCCCGGGAGCCGAAUUGCAUUUCCUCAUAUAGGUGAUAAAAUGCAUCUGUUGCUGAAGCAGGCUCAGAAAGAAAAACAGCUCUAGGAAAUGAUAUACCAAUAGAUUUUCUUACUGGCAUCAUGCAAUGCUAAAACUCGAGAAGCAGCUAAAUAAAUGUAGCAGCAACAGAACGUGCUAAUGAGGCGGGCGAAGGUUCUAUCUUCCCGGUACAGCCUAAGAUUAUUUCACUUCACCUUUGAACCACUUUCCAGUACAGACGAAGUCACCACCAACGAAUUUCGACAGAACUAAGUUGGAACCGAUUUCACCGAGCAUCUUAACCAUCUUCUGCUACCGCCUAGCUAAACUGGUGGUCCACUGACAUCCCAGCGUUUUUACCCCUGGUGUGGGGUGGGUUUAUAUACACAAUCUGGGCUAUGAAACAACAGGAACCAGGAUUCAUCGUUUUACAAGGCGGACGUGAG
rnacentral:lncRNA from 1 species